UAGGGAAUCUUCCACAAUGGGCGAAGCCUGAUGGAGCAACGCCGCGUGAGUGAAGAAGGUUUUCGGAUCGUAAAGCUCUGUUGUUGGUGAAGAAGAAUAGAGGUAGUAACUGACCUUUAUUUGACGGUAAUCAACCAGAAAGUCACGGCUAACUACGUGCCA
rnacentral:rRNA from 1 species